rnacentral:rRNA from 1 species
CAGUAGCCACGGUAAUACGAAGGGUGCAAGCGUUAAUCGGAAUUACUGGGCGUAAAGCGUGCGUAGGCGGUGAGUUAAGUCUGCUGUGAAAUCCCCGGGCUCAACCUGGGAAUGGCAGUGGAUACUGGCUCGCUAGAGUGUGUCAGAGGAUGGUGGAAUUCCCGGUGUAGCGGUGAAAUGCGUAGAGAUCGGGAGGAACAUCAAUGGCGAAGGCGGCCAUCUGGGACAACACUGACGCUGAGGCACGAAAGCGUGGGGAGCAAACAGGAUUAGAUACCCCGGUAGUCCCUGUCUCUUAUAC